rnacentral:rRNA from 1 species
GACGAACGCUGGCGGCGUGCUUAACACAUGCAAGUCGAACGGAAAGGCCCUGCUUUUGUGGGGUGCUCGAGUGGCGAACGGGUGAGUAACACGUGAGUAACCUGCCCUUGACUGUGGGAUAACUUCAGGAAACUGGGGCUAAUACCGGAUAGGAGCUCCUGCUGCACGGUGGUGGUUGGAAAGUUUCGGCGGUGGGGGAUGGACUCGAGGCUUAUCAGCUUGUUGGUGGGGUAGUGGCUUACCAAGGCUUUGACGGGUAGCCGGCCUGAGAGGGUGACCGGCCACAUUGGGACUGAGAUACGGCCCAGACUCCUACGGGAGGCAGCAGUGGGGAAUAUUGCACAAUGGGCGGAAGCCUGAUGCAGCAACGCCGCGUGCGGGAUGACGGCCUUCGGGUUGUAAACCGCUUUCGCCUGUGACGAAGCGUGAGUGACGGUAAUGGGUAAAGAAGCACCGGCUAACUACGUG